rnacentral:rRNA from 1 species
GACGAACGCUGGCGGCGUGCCUAAUACAUGCAAGUCGAGCGCAGGAAGCCGUUCCGACCCCUUCGGGGGGACGAACGGUGGAAUGAGCGGCGGACGGGUGAGUAACACGUAAAGAACCUGCCCAUAGGUCUGGGAUAACCACCACAAAUCGGGGCUAAUACCGGAUGUGUCAUCGGACCGCUUGGUCCGCUGAUGAAAGUCCCUCCCGCCUCGCCCAUGGAUGGCUGUGCGGUGCAUUAGCUAGUUGGUGGGGUAACGGCCCGCCAAGGCGACGAUGCAUAGCCGACCUGAGAGGGUGAUCGGCCACACUGGGACUGAGACACGGCCCAGACUCCUACGGGAGGCAGCAGUAGGGAAUCUUCCACAAUGGACGAAAGUCUGAUGGAGCAACGCCGCGUGAACGAUGAAGGCUUUCGGGUCGUAAAGUUCUGUUGUAAGGGAAGAACAAGUGCCGCAGGCAAUGACGGCACCUUGACGGUACCUUGCGAGAAAGCCACGGCUAACUACGUGCCAGCCGCCGCAGUAAUAC